AAGCAGCAAUUGCAGUCUUUCUGCAAUGCAUGCAAGGGAAUUCCUCAGGUUAAAUAUAAUACAUCCUUUCUCUUCAGAAGUUAUGUUUGCAGUCAUGGCUAUAUCUGCUUGCUUCUUGCCAACCGAACAAAUUUAUUAUAUUCUUGAUUUUUGUAACAAGCACUAUGCUACCAGUGAAGACAUAGAACUGUUCUUUUUGUAGUUAAUGGAGUUAAAAAACUUAUCUUAGUUGCUAUACCACAUUUUCAGGUCAUGCAUCCAGCAUUUCCUUUCAGAUCUCAAACUCCUGCUGUCCCUGCAACUGCUCCUUCGGCCACAGAGGAUGUGGAAUUAGCAAUGGCGAUUAGUGCCUCUCUUCAGUCCGCUUCACAACAAAGACCAACCUAUCAUGACAAUCACCCAGGAUCAGGAACAGAGGAAGACAUAGAACUGUUCUUUUUGUAGUUAAUGGAGUUAAAAAACUUAUCUUAGUUGCUAUACCACAUUUUCAGGUCAUGCAUCCAGCAUUUCCUUUCAGAUCUCAAACUCCUGCUGUCCCUGCAACUGCUCCUUCGGCCACAGAGGAUGUGGAAUUAGCAAUGGCGAUUAGUGCCUCUCUUCAGUCCGCUUCACAACAAAGGCCAACCUAUCAUGAGAAUCACCCAGGAUCAGGAACAGAAACAUCAAUCAAUUGGAUUAACCCUGUUGAGAUUAUCAGUCAUAGUGAUAGCUCUUUUACAGGGGUCUCUUACCACAAAGCUAGUAGCAGUGGUUGUCAAGUUGAGG
rnacentral:lncRNA from 1 species